rnacentral:misc_RNA from 1 species
AGCAGCCGCGGUAAUUCCAGCUCCAAUAGCGUAUAUUAAAGUUGUUGCAGUUAAAAAGCUCGUAGUUGAAUUUCGGGAUCAAUUAGUCGGUCGUGCCUCUGGUACGUACUGGUUUUAUUGGUUCCUCCCUUCUGACGAAACAUGAUGUCAUUAAUUUGGUGUCGUGGAGAAUCAGGACUGUUACCUUGAAAAAUUGGAGUGCUUAUAGCAGGCUAACGCUUGAAUACAUUAGCAUGGAAUAAUGAAAUAGGACGUUCGACCCUAUUUUGUUGGUUUCUAGGAUCGACGUAAUGAUUAAUAGGGAUAGUUGGGGGCAUUAGUAUUCAAUUGUCAGAGGUGAAAUUCUUGGAUUUAUUGAAGACUAACUACUGCGAAAGCAUUUGCCAAGGAUGUUUUCAUUAAUCAAGAACGAAAGUUAGGGGAUCGAAGACGAUCAGAUACCGUCGUAGUCUUAACCAUAAACUAUGCCGACUAGGGAUCGGGAUGUAUUAGUUUUAAUUUUUAAUGUACUCAGUUCGGC